rnacentral:rRNA from 1 species
AUGUGGUUUCAUAUGCUUUUGAUGGAUGCAUUUAUCGGCGGCACGGCGACGAGCUCGGUGACAUUGUUGUGGGCUAUGUCCGAGCUCAUCAAGAAUCCGACGGUGAUGAAGAAGGCACGGGCAGAGAUAAGAAGUUUGGUCGGCGGCAAACAGAGACUAGUGAAGGCGGCCGACCUCUCUAAACUCAAGUACAUCAAGAUGGUCGUCAAGGAGACGCUGCGACUGCAUGCGCCGGUGCCGCUGCUCGUUCCUAGGGAGACCAUGGACCAUGUGAAGGUCCUCGGCUAUGAUAUCCCCGCCAAGACAAGGAUCUUCGUGAACGUGUGGGCUAUGGGGAGGGACCCUGCCUCCUGGGACAAACCAGAGGAGUUUUACCCGGAGAGAUUUGACGGAGUUGACACUGAUUUUUAUGGGUCACACUAUGAGCUCCUUCCGUUUGGCGCCGGGCGGCGGAUCUGCCCUGCUAUCCCCAUGGGAGCCACCAUGGUGGAGUUCACGCUUGCUAGCUUGCUGCAUUCGUUUGACUGGGGGUUGCCCAAAGGCAUGAAUAAAGAAGACGUGAGCAUGGAAGGGACUGGCAGACAACUGUUGUGUAGGAAGACUCCUCUGUAUCUUGUUCCAUCAUUUUAUACUGGCUAA